GUUGGUGAGGUAACGGCCCACCAAGGCGACGAUCGGUAGCCGGACUGAGAGGUUGAACGGCCACAUUGGGACUGAGACACGGCCCAGACUCCUACGGGAGGCAGCAGUGGGGAAUAUUGCACAAUGGGGGAAACCCUGAUGCAGCGACGCCGCGUGGAGGAAGAAGGUCUUCGGAUUGUAAACUCCUGUUGUUGAGGAAGAUAAUGACGGUACUCAACAAGGAAGUGACGGCUAACUACGUGCCAGCAGCCGCGGUAAAACGUAGGUCACAAGCGUUGUCCGGAAUUACUGGGUGUAAAGGGAGCGCAGGCGGGAAGACAAGUUGGAAGUGAAAUCCAUGGGCUCAACCCAUGAACUGCUUUCAAAACUGUUUUUCUUGAGUAGUGCAGAGGUAGGCGGAAUUCCCGGUGUAGCGGUGGAAUGCGUAGAUAUCGGGAGGAACACCAGUGGCGAAGGCGGCCUACUGGGCACCAACUGACGCUGAGGCUCGAAAGUGUGGGUAGCAAACAGGAUUAGAUACCCUGGUAGUCCACACUGUAAAC
rnacentral:rRNA from 1 species